UCCAGGCUAUUCGCUUGGGACCGGACGUAGCACGCGAGAGAACGAGAAAAUGAGAAAGAAAGAGAAAGAUAAAGAGAAAGAGAAAGAGAGAAAGAGAGAGAAGGCGGGAGAGGGACGACUCGAGUCUCUUGGUGUGGACCUUUCCUCGAGCGAACUUUGUUAGAAGAGAAGAAGAAGGAGAAGGAAGAGAAGGAGGAGCAGGAGGGCUGUGGAUCGCGUCCAUAUAAGUAUUUCUAGACGAGUGAAAGGCAAUAAUCUUUAUAUUUCUCGCAAGAACGUAAUAGAUCCUUCUCUUGUUACACGAGCUGGAAGUUACGCUAAGGAAAGCGACUCGUCCGGUUCACGAAGCCAAAGCUUUCGACGAAUCGCAUAGCGUGUCGAUUCUCUGUUAAAGAAACAUUUAUUCUCAAUAACCCGUUCGGAAUUCAACGAUGAUAGUCUUUAGUUUUUCUAGAAAUCUACAAGGAAAAUAAGAUACGCCAUGUAUACAAAACACGGAUAGAUACGUGCACG